GAUGAACGCUAGCUACAGGCUUAACACAUGCAAGUCGAGGGGAAACGACAUCGAAAGCUUGCUUUUGAUGGGCGUCGACCGGCGCACGGGCGAGUAACGCGUAUCCAACCUGCCCACCACUUGGGGAUAACCUUUCGAAAGUAAGACUAAAACCCAAUGACGUCUCUAGAAGACAUCUGAAAGAGGAGAAAGAUGUAUCGGUGAUGGAUGGGGAUGCGGCUGAUUAGCUUGUGGGCGGGGUAACGGCCCACCAAGGCGAAGAUCAGUAGGGGUUCUGAGAGGAAGGUCCCCCACAUUGGAACUGAGACACGGUCCAAACUCCUACGGGAGGCAGCAGUGAGGAAUAUUGGUCAAUGGGCGAGAGCCUGAACCAGCCAAGUAGCGUGCAGGAUGACGGCCCUAUGGGUUGUAAACUGCUUUUAUAAGGGAAUAAAGUGAGUCUCGUGAGACUUUUUGCAUGUACCUUAUGAAUAAGGACCGGCUAAUUCCGUGCCAGCCGCCGCCGUAA
rnacentral:rRNA from 1 species